UUAUAUUCUAUAUUCUUUUGGUUUCUGAAAGGGUGCCUGAAAUAUCCUAUAGAUGUCUUUAGUAGAGGGUCCAAAUAAUGGCCUGCAAGGUUUCUUGAAUUGGAUCGCACAAAAUUCCAUCUGCUUCAGAAUUGAGCUAAGCGCAUCCUAACAUCUUGACUCCUAAUACCGACUAAGAAUUACUAGCAUUUCAUCUCGAAAGAUCACUCUGUCGACCAAUCCAAGGAAGGCACCUGAAGCUUAGGGAGGACACCUCACAAGUCACGGCUACCCGUGCUGCAUCUGUGUGAUUUUGUAAUUUGAAUGAGCAAAUCUAUCUGGCGUCAGUGCGGGGUUGGGGUAGUUUCCUAGAGGGAGGAACAUCGUGGGAUGCAGGUCCCAAGGAACACCAGAUAUUUUGAGGCAGACCGUGGCGAGGUGCCCAAGGGCAGCGCCUAGAUCUUCUUCUGGAUGGUCAAGUUCUGGAACGAUAAUGUGGCAGAGGAGAUGCCCUGGUCUUCGUACGUAUAUGUUACUUACUCCCACUCUCAACAUAGCAGUAGUGUUAUGCAAUGACAUGUCUUUCCCUAAUGCACCGAAGCUUGGAUGGGUCCGUUGAAGGUUGUGUUGUUUAGGUUGAAGGAUGUAUGCAUGGAAUAGAAGUCAGAUAAAACUUUUGUGCAACAGGCUGAAGUCAUUCUUGUUGAUGGGAAAUUAAUAGAGGCUAAUGCUGACCAACUUGCUAAGGUUUAAAUGCAGGAUAUUACAAAAGUCAGGUUGGAGAACUCCCUUGUUUAGGCUUUUGUCUUGCUUCUGCAGAAGGAGAGAUGACGUGUUUCAUCUCUGCAUGACAUGAUGGCAUGUGAGGCAGCAGUCUCUGCUCCGCAACCCUUGUCAUGGCUUGGAGUUGGUAUUCUAGGAAGGGGCACAAUUUUAUUAGGGUAGCCACUAGAGUUGAGGUCCCUUUUCAAUGGACGAACUUGGUGCUGUGGACGACAUCUGCUAUUGUAGCUAGGCGCAUACAUGUUUUCCUAUAAAUGCUAGCUCUGCAAUCACCAAAGGAAAACACAAGAGUACUCUUGGAGGAAAGUUUAGCAUUCAAUUUAAAAAACCUUACCAACUCAUGCCUUAUUUGAAUGCAAUAAUGCAUGUUCUGUUGCCAUGCUGUUGCUUGGACACAUGCUUGGCAUGGCUAUUUUCUGGUUAUGUCACAACUCAUAUCUCCCAUGUAAAUUUAUGGCUAUGAUAUGCAUCAAACAAGCUUAUAUUUUGCUCUCAA
rnacentral:lncRNA from 1 species